rnacentral:rRNA from 1 species
AUUGAUCUUCUGGUACAAAAGCCAGAAUAUUUACACAAGACGAGAAGACCCUGUGGAGCUUAAAAUUUAUAGCUAAAUAAAAACUAGUAUCAAUUUUGAGUUGGGGCGACUUCGGAACAAAACAAAACUUCCGAGCUAGGAGACAACUCACCUCCUAAUAAGGCCAACAAGCCAAUUAAACAGACCCAGUCACACUGAUCAACGAACCAAGUUACCCCAGGGAUAACAGCGCAAUCCCCUCCAAGAGUUCAUAUCGACAAGGGGGUUUACGACCUCGAUGUUGGAUCAGGACACCCUAAUGGUGCAGCCGCUAUUAAAGGUUCGUUUGUUCAACGAUUAAUAGUCCUACGUGAUC